rnacentral:lncRNA from 1 species
CGGAAAAUAAAUGUAGCAAACUUGAUAGAUUUUUACUAGAGGAAGAAUGGUUGGUUCAAUUGAAAGACUUACAACAGCAAGGACUUAACAGAUCGAUAUCGAAUCACAUACCAUUUUUUUGUUAAAUGAAACAAUCGACUGGGGACCAAGAUCUUUCAAGUUCAUUAAUGUAUGGUUUAAAAAGGAAGACUGUAAGAGAUAAAUUGAGAAGGAAUGGUCGAGAAUGGGUAGUUUAAAAGGG